GCUUGAGGGGCCGUGGCGGCGCUGGGAACCACCCCCUCCCCCCAAAAAAUCCCCCCCCUCCCCAGGGGAGAAGGCGCCGAAGCCCAAGAAGGCGGCGCCGGUGGGGAAGAAGAAGAGGAAGAAGAAGGGCUCCGAGGACGAGGCCUUCGAGGACAGUGACGACGGGGACUUUGAGGGGCAGGAGGUGGAUUACAUGUCCGACGCCUCCAGCAGCUCGCUGGAGGAAGAGGUGGGGAAGCCCAAGGUGACGAAGGAGGACGAUGGACCCAAAGGCAUCGACGAGGCGAGCGAGAGCAGCGAGGAGAGCGAGGAGGAGAAGGCGGCGGAGGAGAAGGAGGAGGAGGAGGAGGAGAAGAAGGCCCCGACGCCGCAGGAGAAGAAGAAAAAGAAGGACAGCAGCGACGAGUCGCAGACCUCGGAGGAGAGCGACAUCGACAGCGAGACCUCCUCCGCCCUCUUCAUGGCGGUGAGUGAGUGGGUCCCACCAACCCCGGGGAGGGGAUUUUGGGGAGGGGGGGGGGCGGGGGGGUCCCUGGAGCUUCCCCCAUGACCUUCUUGCCCCCCCCCCCCCAGAAGAAGAAGACCCCCCCGAAGAGGGAGCGCAGGGGCUCGGCCAGCAGCUCGAGGGGCAACAGCCGCCCGGGGACGCCCACGGAGCCCGGCAGCACCAGCUCCACGCUGCGGGCGGCCGCCUGCAAACUGGAGCAAGGUGGGACACGGGGGGGUUAGUUCUGAGACACCCCCUCCCCUUCCGACCCCAGGGGUUAUUUGGGGACGCUCCUGGGGGUUUGGGGCAAAUCUGUAGGGUCUUGGGGGCAGAU
rnacentral:lncRNA from 1 species